UCUGACGUCGAGGCGCCUCCUUUUGUUCCAAACCCGUACCCGCGAGUCACCACGUCGUCUCUGCGCCGCCGCCAUGGCGACUCGCCGGAAGCCGUCCUCGAAACCCUCGGAGAUCCCGCCGGAGGUGCGGUCCGUGGAGGCGAAGCCCCCGCAUGCGGAUCCUCUGGCCCCUCCGAAGUUUGGUCUCAUCAUCCCCGUCGCUGCCGCGUUCUUCCUCUCUUUCUUCUACCUCGUAUUCGUCAAGUACCGGAUCGAGCCCGACCUGCGCCGAUCCAUCGCUAUCAACGCCGCUAUGAGCUUCGGCGCCUUCGUCUUGGCCGUCCGGAUGAUCCCCGUGGCGGCACGCUACGUGUUGCGACGCAAUCUCUACGGGUUCGACAUCAACAAGAAGGGCACACCGCAGGGCACCAUCAAAGUGCCUGAAUCUUUGGGUAUUGUUAUUGGAAUUGUCUACUUGGUUAUUGCUAUACUGUUCCAGCAUUUCAACUUCACUUCAGACUCCAAUUGGCUCGUCGAAUACAAUGCGGCACUAGCAUCUAUCUGCUUCAUGAUUCUUCUAGGAUUUGUGGAUGAUGUUCUUGAUGUCCCAUGGAGAGCAAAAUUGGUGCUGCCCUCAUUUGCAGCUCUUCCCUUGUUGAUGGCAUAUGCUGGGCAUACUACCAUCAUCAUACCGAAGCCCCUCAUUCAAUAUGUUGGAGCAGCUGUUCUGGAUUUAGGUUGGAUAUACAAGCUAUAUAUGGGUAUGUUAGCUGUUUUUUGCACAAACUCCAUCAACAUACAUGCUGGUUUAAAUGGCCUGGAAGCUGGGCAGACUGUUGUAAUUUCAGCCGCGGUCUUAAUUCAUAAUGUCAUGCAAAUUGGUGCAUCUACAGACCCGGAAUAUCAGCAGGCUCAUGCAUUUUCUAUUUACCUUGUCCUUCCUCUGCUGACCACUUCAUUGGCUUUACUUUCAUACAAUUGGUAUCCUUCAUCAGUCUUUGUUGGCGAUACCUACACUUACUUUGCUGGAAUGGCUUUGGCUGUAGUUGGAAUUCUUGGCCAUUACAGCGAGACACUUCUGCUUUUCUUCUUGCCUCAAGUUUUGAAUUUUCUUUAUUCAUGCCCUCAGCUUUUUAAGAUAAUUCCUUGUCCACGGCAUCGCCUACCAAGAUUUGAUCCUCAAACAGGACUCUUGACGGGGACAAAGGAUGGGACCCUUGUAAACCUAUUCCUUAGAUUGUUUGGUCGGUGCACAGAACAGAUGCUAUGCAUCAGGCUUCUCAUUUUCCAGGCUUUGUCAUGCCUCUUGUGUUUCUGGCUGAGGCAUGUUCUUGCUGGAUGGUACAAGUGAGGCGCGAAGAGCAAACAAGGAAAUAUCAUUCAAGAUCAGGCAGAUGUCAAGAGCAGUACAUCGGAAUUGCUCAGCUUAUGCCCAUCUAUAACUAAAGAAGAAGAGCAUAAAACAAGACCAUGCUCAGCAACAGAGUAGCAGUACCCAAUGCCGAGAAGAAGCUCAAGAAACCUAUUCUCGUCAGUGUCUUAAAUCGAUCAUUUGCAGCAAUCGAGGCCAGCAAAGUGAUCACCAUAUGCCUGUCCGAGGAGUGUAGCUCUCUUUAGAACGAGAAGCUUGCAAGUAUAUGACGGUGGAUACGGAAGAAAUCAUUAAAAGCUACGGAAGGAUGAGGAGCUACCGGGGAGGCCGGAUGGCCCGGCACUGCUCCGAGAUCUUGCGCCGCAGGUAGUAGCCGUGGUGGGGGUGGUCCGGCGAGAUGAACCCCCAGCGGCGUUGGUUCUUGGUGAUCUUGAGCAGCCUCAGGAGGAUGGUCUCGGUCAGGUCGCCGUCCCUGGCCACGAACCGAGCCACCUUGUCGAUCCGCUCCUUCUCGUCCUGCGCCAGCCGCGGGCAGUCCUCCACCCCCCGCCGGAUCAUCUGCCGCUCCAUCGCCGCCUCCUCCGCGUUCCCCAUCCGCAGCUCUCUCAUGUCUCCUCUUCUCCCCUCUCUCGAUCCAACCGAGGAGGAGGAGGAGGUCUUAAGAAGCGGGCAAAGAGGAGCCGUCUCCGACGCUGAGACCGAUUCUUAAAGCGUUCCGAGGCUUUUGCAUGGCACUGGCACGACCCUCAAAGUCCAGCUGUCCCAUGCAUCUACCCUCCAUUCGAGUUUACGUGGACGUAAUCGAAUGCAACUUCUUUUGCAGGUACUCUCCCUCUCUCUCUCGUAUCUCUAUUUAUUACUCUUUAUCUCUGUUCUCGUAAGCUCAGAAACGAUGGCCACUCGAGAGGAAUAGCAAUGGAGAUUGGUGAGACCGUACACCAGGGAGUAGACGAGCUACCUAUCCGAGGGUGAAGGAAGGGGGGUGAACUGCCGCCGCCCUCGCCGCUGCUGCUUGCGGUGGAGGAGGCGAAGGUCAAAUUAAACCGCGGAUUCGGGAAUUAAAAUCAACGAACCGCCCGGUUUACGCCGGCCGGACCGAGCCGACGUUUCAUCAUCCUGUGUAGGGGCGGAUGCGGAACAGCGACUUCCACCGAUCAUAAUCCAGAGUUCGAGUUCAUCCUAAUCCGUCACUCCAUAGAGCAUGUCAACUUCGAGAUUCGUGCGCGCUUGAUUGCUCGCCUGUGAAACGGCUCUGAGUUUUUGUUUUUAGAAACAAGCAACACAAAACAAAAAAACGAAAUCAAGUGAGCA